rnacentral:lncRNA from 1 species
UUUUCUCCUCUGUUGUAUUGGAUUAAAAGAUUGUUCUUUCUGUAUACGCUACACUAAGUGCAUUAUUAUUUCCCAUUGGUGAUUCCUCUUGUCUGGUUAUUCCAUUGGAGAGUAACUACAUGUUUUUUUUUUUUUUUGGUAUUAGAAUUGAUAAGUUACCUUUCCUCUCUUCCGACUUAUAAUAGAUUGAUAAAUUAUAAUGAUUUUUCAUAUUGUUGUAUAGUUCCCUACCGAGCGGAAGCACGAAAGACAUUAUCAAAAGCUGAAAACUACUUGAUUAUUAGCAGGUUAGAUUUCAUAAAACUUAUUUAUUAGCUUGUCCUUGCCGGGUUAUUUGUUUUUUUACUUAUUCUUUGACCUUUUCCUCAAUUUGGCUGGUUGUUGCAUUAUGAUGCCAAGAGUAUAUCUUUCUACUAUUAUAAUUAGGACUAGUAUAACAACUUGCUAUUUAGCUACUCUCUUACAUAAGAAAUCGUUAAAGUUUACGGUAUGUGUAUUUAGGCAAUGAUUGAAAAACAUUUAUGUAUUUUGGUUGGCGUUUCUGUCGAAACUUUGCUACAUAGUCUUUGAAAAGAAAAUAGCAAUGCAUCAGCAUCGCUGCUUUUACUACUCGAUAGAUUUAUUACUCAUGUUCAUUUUCAGAGGCUGGAGCAGGAGCUGAAGGUUGUUUGCGGUGGUUAAGGGUUGUCUGGCAUGCGAGGAACUCGAGAGUAAUGGUAUUUGUUAGGUUCUUAGAUUUAGUUAAUAGUUUUUCAUGGAAUAAAAAAUGUAUUAGGAAUUAUUUUCAUUAUCUGUAUGAAUAAUUUCUUAUUGAUGGUAUUACUAUUUGAAUUUUUUUUAAAAAUAUAUUUAUCCUAUUGGGCACAAUAACAAACUUGUGCUAACGAAAAAGUCAUCUGACAUGGGUGUCAGAAAAGAGGCACAGAAAACCCUUAUUUGUGCUGAACUUUUUGGGCAGUAAAGACCAUAUUGUGCCCUUUGGCAAAUGGUGACGCCCAUAGAGGGCACAUAUACAAAUUUAGUUGCUGCAUUGUUGCUAUUGGUCUAUGAGCACAAUUGUUGGUGCUUUUUGGCCUCAAAGGGCACAAAUAAUUCAUCAUGCGCAGUGGCCAUUUUUGUUGUAGUGAUUACAACUACUUUAUUCUCUUACAAGUAGUUUUAAACAUUUUUAUUCCUACUUUUGCAAAUGGUAAAAAUUCUAUCAGGCAAUCUCAUGAGGUCUUGGCCUCUCAGUAAUUUCAAUGGCUAAUUCCAUCUCUCUUCCAAUUGGCGAACAAUCACUGUGACUGAAACCACCAUGCUCAGUAGAAGGUGUUCCUAUCUGUUCCUCGAAAACAUUGUGCAAUUCAGUGUUGUUUGAGUAGACUGAUGGACUUGGCGGGAAGGUGUUCAGUUCACCCUUCUUAAAAGUAAACGAAUUUAAGUCCUUUUUGUCGUAAAUUCUUAGCAUGACACAAAAUUUUCGCCACAAUGAGGCUUCUGGAUCGAGUUGCGAGAAGAUGUCCUUGUGUUCGUACAAGAACAUGGCAGCAAAUAUGAGCAGAGCUAAUGUUGAAGCAACACCGACUAUGAGAAAGAGGCCCCAAAAGCUUUCAAGG